rnacentral:misc_RNA from 1 species
AAACGGGCAAUAAGCUUGGCCAAGGCAAAUAUACAAGGAGUCAUGAAAUUUGAGUUUAGUAACUAUUUCAUCACCACACCAAAAGUACUGUAGGACUUGAUACAGACCAGAUCAAAAGCAGAGCCGCAAUAAAAAUGGCAUGAUCAAUGUAGUCUUGGGUUUGGAAUGGUGUGCACACUGGCAUGAGCCCCAUUUGCUGCAUAUAUGCAAGUAUAAAUUCAAGCUUUCUGAGUCCAUUCUUUUUCA